GUGAGAGUACAGCAGACUGGCAAAGAUUUGUUUCAAGUAUUGCAAGUCCUUAGUCAAGUGGGCUCCUUACAAGAAGAGGAAAAUGGAUAGAAGACCGAGGACUCCAAUUCCUGAGGACCCUGUGAAAAGCAAUAAACCACCACUGGUGGAAAAAGAUGACCUAAAGUCACAGGAUGAAACUAGGAAGUUGGAGAUUUCUGAAGCCAUUAAAGAGCCUCAGUCCAGCAAUGAUGGUGUGCCAGUGAAUGCAGACGAUGUUGCUGAUGGGAAAGGAAAAUGACUGCCAAUAAAGACACUCAAACAUAGCUACACACACACAAGCAUGCAUGCACC